GAUGAACGCUGGCGGCGUGCCUAAUACAUGCAAGUCGAGCGAACAGACGAGGAGCUUGCUCCUCUGACGUUAGCGGCGGACGGGUGAGUAACACGUGGAUAACCUACCUAUAAGACUGGGAUAACUUCGGGAAACCGGAGCUAAUACCGGAUAAUAUAUUGAACCGCAUGGUUCAAUAGUGAAAGACGGUUUUGCUGUCACUUAUAGAUGGAUCCGCGCCGCAUUAGCUAGUUGGUAAGGUAACGGCUUACCAAGGCAACGAUGCGUAGCCGACCUGAGCGGGGGAUCGGCCACACUGGAACUGAGACACGGUCCAGACUCCUACGGGAGGCAGCAGUAGGGAAUCUGCCGCAAUGGGCGAAAGCCUGACGGAGCAACGCCGCGUGAGUGAUGAAGGUCUUCGGAUCGUAAAACUCUGUUAUUAGGGAAGAACAAAUGUGUAAGUAACUAUGCACGUCUUGACGGUACCUAAUCAGAAAGCCACGGCUAACUACGUG
rnacentral:rRNA from 1 species